AGCGUACACGGUGGAUGCCCUGGCAGUCAGAGGCGAUGAAGGACGUGCUAAUCUGCGAUAAGCGUCGGUAAGGUGAUAUGAACCGUUAUAACCGGCGAUUUCCGAAUGGGGAAACCCAGUGUGUUUCGACACACUAUCAUUAACUGAAUCCAUAGGUUAAUGAGGCGAACCGGGGGAACUGAAACAUCUAAGUACCCCGAGGAAAAGAAAUCAACCGAGAUUCCCCCAGUAGCGGCGAGCGAACGGGGAGCAGCCCAGAGCCUGAAUCAGUGUGUGUGUUAGUGGAAGCGUCUGGAAAGGCGCGCGAUACAGGGUGACAGCCCCGUACACAAAAAUGCACAUGCUGUGAGCUCGAUGAGUAGGGCGGGACACGUGGUAUCCUGUCUGAAUAUGGGGGGACCAUCCUCCAAGGCUAAAUACUCCUGACUGACCGAUAGUGAACCAGUACCGUGAGGGAAAGGCGAAAAGAACCCCGGCGAGGGGAGUGAAAAAGAACCUGAAACCGUGUACGUACAAGCAGUGGGAGCACGCUUAGGCGUGUGACUGCGUACCUUUUGUAUAAUGGGUCAGCGACUUAUAUUCUGUAGCAAGGUUAACCGAAUAGGGGAGCCGAAGGGAAACCGAGUCUUAACUGGGCGUUAAGUUGCAGGGUAUAGACCCGAAACCCGGUGAUCUAGCCAUGGGCAGGUUGAAGGUUGGGUAACACUAACUGGAGGACCGAACCGACUAAUGUUGAAAAAUUAGCGGAUGACUUGUGGCUGGGGGUGAAAGGCCAAUCAAACCGGGAGAUAGCUGGUUCUCCCCGAAAGCUAUUUAGGUAGCGCCUCGUGAAUUCAUCUCCGGGGGUAGAGCACUGUUUCGGCAAGGGGGUCAUCCCGACUUACCAACCCGAUGCAAACUGCGAAUACCGGAGAAUGUUAUCACGGGAGACACACGGCGGGUGCUAACGUCCGUCGUGAAGAGGGAAACAACCCAGACCGCCAGCUAAGGUCCCAAAGUCAUGGUUAAGUGGGAAACGAUGUGGGAAGGCCCAGACAGCCAGGAUGUUGGCUUAGAAGCAGCCAUCAUUUAAAGAAAGCGUAAUAGCUCACUGGUCGAGUCGGCCUGCGCGGAAGAUGUAACGGGGCUAAACCAUGCACCGAAGCUGCGGCAGCGACGCUUAUGCGUUGUUGGGUAGGGGAGCGUUCUGUAAGCCUGCGAAGGUGUGCUGUGAGGCAUGCUGGAGGUAUCAGAAGUGCGAAUGCUGACAUAAGUAACGAUAAAGCGGGUGAAAAGCCCGCUCGCCGGAAGACCAAGGGUUCCUGUCCAACGUUAAUCGGGGCAGGGUGAGUCGACCCCUAAGGCGAGGCCGAAAGGCGUAGUCGAUGGGAAACAGGUUAAUAUUCCUGUACUUGGUGUUACUGCGAAGGGGGGACGGAGAAGGCUAUGUUGGCCGGGCGACGGUUGUCCCGGUUUAAGCGUGUAGGCUGGUUUUCCAGGCAAAUCCGGAAAAUCAAGGCUGAGGCGUGAUGACGAGGCACUACGGUGCUGAAGCAACAAAUGCCCUGCUUCCAGGAAAAGCCUCUAAGCAUCAGGUAACAUCAAAUCGUACCCCAAACCGACACAGGUGGUCAGGUAGAGAAUACCAAGGCGCUUGAGAGAACUCGGGUGAAGGAACUAGGCAAAAUGGUGCCGUAACUUCGGGAGAAGGCACGCUGAUAUGUAGGUGAGGUCCCUCGCGGAUGGAGCUGAAAUCAGUCGAAGAUACCAGCUGGCUGCAACUGUUUAUUAAAAACACAGCACUGUGCAAACACGAAAGUGGACGUAUACGGUGUGACGCCUGCCCGGUGCCGGAAGGUUAAUUGAUGGGGUUAGCCGCAAGGCGAAGCUCUUGAUCGAAGCCCCGGUAAACGGCGGCCGUAACUAUAACGGUCCUAAGGUAGCGAAAUUCCUUGUCGGGUAAGUUCCGACCUGCACGAAUGGCGUAAUGAUGGCCAGGCUGUCUCCACCCGAGACUCAGUGAAAUUGAACUCGCUGUGAAGAUGCAGUGUACCCGCGGCAAGACGGAAAGACCCCGUGAACCUUUACUAUAGCUUGACACUGAACAUUGAGCCUUGAUGUGUAGGAUAGGUGGGAGGCUUUGAAGUGUGGACGCCAGUCUGCAUGGAGCCGACCUUGAAAUACCACCCUUUAAUGUUUGAUGUUCUAACGUUGACCCGUAAUCCGGGUUGCGGACAGUGUCUGGUGGGUAGUUUGACUGGGGCGGUCUCCUCCUAAAGAGUAACGGAGGAGCACGAAGGUUGGCUAAUCCUGGUCGGACAUCAGGAGGUUAGUGCAAUGGCAUAAGCCAGCUUGACUGCGAGCGUGACGGCGCGAGCAGGUGCGAAAGCAGGUCAUAGUGAUCCGGUGGUUCUGAAUGGAAGGGCCAUCGCUCAACGGAUAAAAGGUACUCCGGGGAUAACAGGCUGAUACCGCCCAAGAGUUCAUAUCGACGGCGGUGUUUGGCACCUCGAUGUCGGCUCAUCACAUCCUGGGGCUGAAGUAGGUCCCAAGGGUAUGGCUGUUCGCCAUUUAAAGUGGUACGCGAGCUGGGUUUAGAACGUCGUGAGACAGUUCGGUCCCUAUCUGCCGUGGGCGCUGGAGAACUGAGGGGGGCUGCUCCUAGUACGAGAGGACCGGAGUGGACGCAUCACUGGUGUUCGGGUUGUCAUGCCAAUGGCACUGCCCGGUAGCUAAAUGCGGAAGAGAUAAGUGCUGAAAGCAUCUAAGCACGAAACUUGCCCCGAGAUGAGUUCU
rnacentral:rRNA from 1 species